AGAUUGAACGCUGGCGGCAGGCCUAACACAUGCAAGUCGAGCGGCAGCACGGGUACUUGUACCUGGUGGCGAGCGGCGGACGGGUGAGUAAUGCCUAGGAAUCUGCCUGGUAGUGGGGGAUAACGCUCGGAAACGGACGCUAAUACCGCAUACGUCCUACGGGAGAAAGCAGGGGACCUUCGGGCCUUGCGCUAUCAGAUGAGCCUAGGUCGGAUUAGCUAGUUGGUGAGGUAAUGGCUCACCAAGGCGACGAUCCGUAACUGGUCUGAGAGGAUGAUCAGUCACACUGGAACUGAGACACGGUCCAGACUCCGUACGGGAGGCAGCAGGUGGGGAAAUAUUGGACAAGUGGGACGAAAGCCUGAUCCAGCAACGCCGCGUGAGGAUGA
rnacentral:rRNA from 1 species